CCAACCUUGAAGGCGGCUGCACCUCUCGGGAUAUUCUAGUCCAACAUCGUGGUCACAAACCUUUUUUUCGAUAAGGGCUCUCAAAAAAGAUUAUGCCGUUAUCCCUACGGUAACUAUUUCUUUUAAUCACGAUAGGUUCGUGGAUCUUUAUAUAGAAAGUUAGAAUUUAAAAGAAGCUUUAGCUGUUCCUUAGUCGCCCCAACCAAAAUUUUUUAUGAGGAGAAGUCUAGAAAAUAGUUUCUGGAUGACAUAAAUGAUUUUAAACUCGAUAGGGUCUUCUUGUCUAUUAAUUUUAUUUAGAUUUCUUCAUCUAAAAAAUAAGUUCCAUAGAUUUUUACAGAGACAGGGGUCCCUUGUCAAACCUUUCAUACUAGCCCUCAAUUAUAGGGCAAAUGAUUAUGCUACCUUUGCACGGUCAGAGUACCGCGGCCGUUGAA
rnacentral:rRNA from 1 species